rnacentral:pre_miRNA from 1 species
UGUACAAUUGCUAGGUCAUUUGGUAAAGUAUAUUUAGUUUUGUAAGAAAUCGCCAAACUGUCUUCCGAAGUGACUGCUCUGCCUUGCAUUUCUACUAGCAAU